GCAAGUCGAACGGUAACGCAAGGAGCUUGCUCCUUGGCGACGAGUGGCGGACGGGUGAGUAAUGCUUAGGAAUCUGCCCAGUAGCGGGGGAUAACUCGAGGAAACUCGAGCUAAUACCGCAUACGCCCUACGGGGGAAAGCAGGGGAUCUUCGGACCUUGCACUAUUGGAUGAGCCUAAGCGAGAUUAGCUUGUUGGUGAGGUAAAAGCUCACCAAGGCGACGAUCUCUAGCUGGUCUGAGAGGACGAUC
rnacentral:rRNA from 1 species